AUGGAGGUCGCUGCUGGGGCGAUGGGCCCCGUCAUCCGUAAGCUCGGCGAGCUGCUCGUCGGAGAAUACAACCUAGAGAAGCGAGUAAAGAAAGGCGUACAAUCGCUCCUAGACGAGCUGGAGAUGAUGCACGCCGUACUUCGCAAGGUUGGCGAGGUGCCGUCGGAACAGCUCGAGGAGCCGGUCCGGAUUUGGGCUGGCAAGGUGAGAGACCUGUCUUGCGACAUGGAAGACGCUGUUGACGACUUCAUGGUGCGUGUGCAUGAGGGUUCAAGCAGCAAGCCUACGAACAUGAGGAAUCGAGUCAAGAAGUUUCUCAAGAAGACCACCAAACUGUUUGGCAAGGGCAAAGCACUUCAUCAAAUCAGUGAUGCCAUCAAAGAAGCUCAGGAUCUUGCCAAGGAGUUGGCGGACCUGCGUAGAAGGUACGAGCUUGACACUCGUAGCACUAGCAAUGGUGCUACCAUUGACCCUCGUGUGUUAGCUCUGCACAAAGAUGUAGGGGAGCUUGUUGGCGUUGACCGCACAAGGGAUGAGCUUAUCAAAACACUGAUUUGUGAGGAUGGGAGUUCCAAGGAGCAAUUGAAGACGAUCUCUAUUGUUGGUGUUGGUGGGCUGGGCAAGACUACACUCACCAAAGCAAUUUAUGAGAAGAUCAAAGCCCAGUUUGAAUGUGCGGCUUUUGUCCCUGUAGGACAGAACCCUGAUAUCAAGAAAGUUUUCAAGGACUUACUCUAUGACCUGAACAAAGAAAAGUUCAAUGACAUUCAUAAUACAUCAAAGGAUGAAAAUCUCCUCAUCAAGGAAAUCAGAGAAUUCCUUGUGGAUAAGAGGUACCUUAUCGUAAUUGAUGAUAUAUGGGAAGAAGAAAUUUGGAGAUUUAUAAAUUGUGCUUUGUGUAAAAACAAACUCCACAGUCGGGUAAUCACGACAACUCGUAAUGUGAGUGUGUCUGAAGCAUGUCUCUCUUCCAGCGAUGACAUGAUUCACCAAAUGAAACCUCUUUCUGAUGAAGACUCACAGAUACUCUUCCAUAGAAGAAUAUUUCAAAGCGAGGAGAAAUGUCCAGAAGAUUUGCAAGCAGUAUCAAGAGAGAUACUGAAGAAAUGUGGUGGAGUACCAUUAGCCAUCAUUACAAUAGCUAGCCUUCUAGUCAGUAACCAAAGGAUAAAGCAGAAAGAAGAAUGGAUGCAUGUGCACAGUUCGAUGGGCCGUGGAGUUACAGAAGGUGGUAUUGUGAAGGACAUGAAGAGGAUAUUAUCACUCAGCUAUUAUGAUUUGCCAUCCCAUCUAAAGCCUUGUUUAUUAUAUCUAAGCAUCUUUCCUGAAGACUUUGAGAUUAACAGAGAUUUGCUGAUAUGGAGGUGGCUUGCUGAAGGGUUUAUCCAAUGUGACAAAGAUGAAACCAGGCUGUUUGAGAUCGGAAAGAGCUACUUCAACGAGCUUAUGAACAGGAGCUUGAUCCAGCCAGCGGAAACCAAUUAUGAAGGAACAGUAGUAACUUGCCGUAUACAUGAUAUGGUGCUUGACCUUAUAUGCUCGCUGUCAAGUGAGGAGAAUUUUAUCUCCAUAUUGGAUAAUGCGGAGUGGAAUGCACCUAAUCCGCAAAGAAAAUUUCGCAGGUUAUCACUUCAUAAUAUCAAGGCAAAGGUUCAGAACCAUCAGAUUGAAAGCACUAGCCUGUCAAAAGUGAGGACCUUUGCUGUUUUUUCUCCUGUUACCUGUGAUUGGUUGCCAUCUCUCUCAAGCUUUCAAUUUUUGCGUGUGCUGGAUCUUGGAAGUUGUGUUAGCCAUGAAAGUAGCUCUGGCAUCAGCCUCAAGUAUGUAGGGAAUUUAAUUCACCUAAGGUACCUAGGGCUCAAGGAUGCAGAUGUUCGCGAACUCCCAAUGGACAUAGGCAAGCUGCAGCUUUUGCAGACACUGGAUAUAAGAGGCACUAGUAUAAAAGAAUUACCUUCAAGUGUUGUACAGCUCAUAAAUUUGAUAUGCCUAUAUGUCAAUUAUAGGGUGAGGCUGCCAAAAGGAAUGGGAAGCUUGAUGUCCCUUGAAGUGCUGGAAGAAGUAGGCUUAUCCUCAUCUCCUCACAUUGCGGAAGAGCUGAGCCAUCUGACAGAGGUUAGGACACUCAGUAUUGACUGUGCUAACAUGGACGAGGAUCUGAUUGAUAUAUUAAUCAAGUCUCUAGGCAACCUGCACAAAUUGCAAAAUCUGCGUAUUGAUGAUGGUGGCAGAUUGAUAAAUCGCAUGUGUGAAAGCUGGGUGCCCCCUCCAAACCUCCGUAGUUUUGAUUCAUGGAGCCUCUCUUCUUCUUCGUCGUUCUUGAGACUUCCAAAGUGGGUUAAUUCAAGUACGCUUCCCCACCUCUCCCGCCUGGAAAUAGAUGUGGAAGAACUGCAAGGGGAUGACAUUCAGAUCAUUGGGAUGCUGCCUGCUCUUCGGUUUCUGGAGCUGACUGCUGAUCGCGUGAUGGGAAGGUUGGCUGUGAGGGCCGAUGCAUUCCCAUCUGCGAGAAGCUGCAUUUUCAGAGGGUUUCCAAUGGCGUCGUGCCUUUUCCCACCUGGAGCUAUGCCAAGGGUUCAGCACCUUCAGUUCAGAGUCUCUGCACCGUCGAUCGCAAGAGGUGAGGUUGACUGCGGCCUGGGCCACCUCCCUUCUCUCGAGCACAUCAAGGUUGAUCUGCGGCGUGAUAAUUCCAGCCGUGAAGAGCUGGAGACAGCCGAGGCUUGGCUGAGGCGCGCAGCACAAGCCCAUCCAAAACGCCCCACCAUUGAAAUCAGAUAG
rnacentral:rRNA from 1 species